AGCAGCCGCGGUAAUACAGAGGGUGCGAGCGUUAAUCGGAUUUACUGGGCGUAAAGCGUGCGUAGGCGGCUUCUUAAGUCGGAUGUGAAAUCCCUGAGCUUAACUUAGGAAUUGCAUUCGAUACUGGGAAGCUAGAGUAUGGGAGAGGAUGGUAGAAUUCCAGGUGUAGCGGUGAAAUGCGUAGAGAUCUGGAGGAAUACCGAUGGCGAAGGCAGCCAUCUGGCCUAAUACUGACGCUGAGGUACGAAAGCAUGGGGAGCAAACAGGAUUAGAUACCCCCGUAGUCCCUGUCUCUUAUACA
rnacentral:rRNA from 1 species